CCUACGGGAGGCAGCAGUGAGGAAUAUUGGUCAAUGGACGCAAGCCUGAACCAGCCAAGCAGCGUGCAGGAAGACGGCCCUACGGGUUGUAAACUGCUUUUGUACGGGGAUAACCCGCCUUACGUGUAUCUCUUUGCAUGUAUCGUAUGAAUAAGGACCGGCUAAUUCCGUGCCAGCAGCCGCGGUAAUACGGAGGGUUCAAGCGUUAUCCGGAUUUAUUGGGUUUAAAGGGGGCGUAGGCGGUCUGUCAAGCUUGCGGUGAAAUCGCCGGGCUCAACCUCGGAAUUGCCGCGGCUACUGGUCGGCUAGAGAGUAGGUGCGGUAGGCGGAAUGUAUGGUGUAGCGGUGAAAUGCUUAGAGAUGAUGCAGAACACCGAUUGCGAAGGCAGCUUACCAA
rnacentral:rRNA from 1 species